UCUGUCUCUGUUUGUCAGCAGAGCAGGACACACACAAGAAGGCUAGAGCCCAUCAUCCUUGCUGCACUCUCUCCACAAGGAAACCCUUCCAGAUCAGAUUCCCAGCGCAGUAGCUGGGGACAAGACCUGAGGCAACAGCGAGCAAGGGAUCAUAGCCGUCCAAGUCCAGGCUCCGCCCAGGGAUCGCCCUUCUCAAGUCAGGCCCCACCCCUUCCCAGGCCACGCCCACCCAGCACCGCCCCCCAGAGUAAGUCUCCUCCCCGGACUGGCUUAGCCCUGCCUACCCCACCCCAGGCUCUGCCUUCCCCUGGGUUCGGCUCAAAUCGAGGCCCCGCCCCUCCAAGGAUAAUUACAGGUGCUAAAAGGAAAAAAGGGAAACAGAAGCCUAACCAGCAGUCCGUGAAUUCAUCUAUAAGACAACAGACUCAGCUCGGAGGAGGCUGGCCCCUGGUCUUUUCCCAGGUAAGACGUGACUGGGCCGUAGCAGCUCCACAGGCUUCACCAGCAAGGCCAUGUGAUGCUGUUCCAUUAGGUAGAUUGAUGCCUCUGGUACGUCUUUACCAAGUGCCAGCUGUGGGCUGGGUACGGUGCUCGGGUUUGGGGAUGCACGGGGAACAGAACAAAGACCCCUGUCUUCAAGGAAGGUGCAUUCCAGUUUGGAGACAAUACAGACAACAACUGUAAUAAAUAGGCACAUUCUCUAGUUUGCUGCAGGUGCUGAGGGCUCUGG
ensembl:lncRNA